CUACUAUCUAUGGUGUGGUGUCAGAAUGGAGGCUGGCUGUGAUUUCUAUAGGGUCUUGUACAUGCCAGAGGAGUGUUCUGCUACUGACCUACGUGGAAGUCUCUGGAGUCUUGCCAGAAUGUCGACUGUGGUUAGAUCUGAUUUGAAGACUAAAAAAGAAAAGACUAUAAUCUACCUUCCUGGUACAGGAUAGACAACCCAGAGACAGGUAAGAUUAACAUCAGUUCUAAUUUCUUUUAAAAUGUCAAAGAUUUAUUUUCCCAUUUUUGCAGGCUG
rnacentral:lncRNA from 1 species